GAUCAUGGCUCAGGACGAACGCUGGCGGCGUGCCUAAUACAUGCAAGUAGAACGCUGAAGAGAGGAGCUUGCUCUUCUUGGAUGAGUUGCGAACGGGUGAGUAACGCGUAGGUAACCUGCCUGGUAGCGGGGGAUAACUAUUGGAAACGAUAGCUAAUACCGCAUAAAAUGGAUUAUCGCAUGAUAAUCCAUUGAAAGGUGCAAAUGCAUCACUACCAGAUGG
rnacentral:rRNA from 1 species